rnacentral:rRNA from 1 species
CCUACGGGAGGCAGCAGUGAGGAAUAUUGGUCAAUGGACGAGAGUCUGAACCAGCCAAGUAGCGUGAAGGAAGACUGCCCUAUGGGUUGUAAACUUCUUUUAUAUGGGAAUAAAAUGUUCCACGUGUGGGAUUUUGUAUGUACCAUAUGAAUAAGGAUCGGCUAACUCCGUGCCAGCAGCCGCGGUAAUACGGAGGAUCCGAGCGUUAUCCGGAUUUAUUGGGUUUAAAGGGAGCGUAGGUGGAUUGGUAAGUCAGUUGUGAAAGUUUGCGGCUCAACCGUAAAAUUGCAGUUGAAACUGGCAGUCUUGAGUACAGUAGAGGUGGGCGGAAUUCGUGGUGUAGCGGUGAAAUGCUUAGAUAUCACGAAGAACUCCGAUUGCGAAGGCAGUUCACUGGACUGCAACUGACACUGAGGCUCGAAAGUGUGGGUAUCAAACAGGAUGAGAUACCCCAGUAGUC